CAAAAAAUAGUUUAUUUAAAAUAUUAAUUUUGGAGAUUAUUGAUAGAAUAUGUAAAAGUUCUUUUUUUGA
rnacentral:tRNA from 1 species